rfam:Perkinsus marinus ATCC 50983 gcontig_1104296715664, whole genome shotgun sequence.
CCUGCCUUUGUACACACCGCCCGUCGCUCCUACCGAUUGAGUGAUCCGGUGAGCUGUCCGGACUGCGAUUAGUUCAGUUUCUGUUCUCUUCGCGGGAAGUUCUGCAAACCUUAUCACUUAGAGGAAGGAGAAGUCGUAACAAGGUUUCCGUAGGUGAACCUGCGGAAGGAUCAUUC